rnacentral:tRNA from 2 species
GCCGAAGUGGCGGAACAGGAAGACGCGCCAGACUCAAAAUCUGGUUCCCCUGACGGGGAGUGAGGGUUCGAUUCCCUCCUUCGGCA